CCCAACCGCCACCUUUAUCCUUAACAAGGUUAUAUACAUAUAUACAUAUUUACAUAAUAAGCAAUGUUGCUGUACAAUGUCUGUAGCAGAGUCCACCCUGGCCCUUCUCCACUGCCAGGUGCCUGCAGACACUACUGGUGGCCUCCACCCCUCGCCAGGGAGGAGGGCUGCCUACGGGGAGCCACCCUGCUCCUCACUGCUGUGUUGACAGCCCCACCGUCCCGAUGACUCAGGGCGCGGAGCAAAGAUGAGGGACUAGGUUUGUGUGAAGUCCAUCUGCCCUCUCACUAAACUUUAUUAUUAAUAUUUACUUUCUUUUCAGAUCAUGUGAGUUUUUAGACAUUUGGAGCACGGUCUUCCUCUGCCUCUCCCCGCUGCCAGAUGUCUUGCCGACAGAGCUGGUGGUCACCACCCCUUGCCGGGGGGAGCAGCUGCCCACGGGAAGCCACCCUGCUUCACACACCGCGUAAGACAACACCCCCAGCCCGGCAACUCAGGGCGCGGAGCAGAGGGAAAGGGAUCCUGAGUUCCCCAAGUCAAUUAUUCUCGCAAGUGGUCUUUGUGUAUGUGAGGAGUCAGGCGGAGCUAGACGCAUCGUGAUGUUCAGCUGCUUAGCGUGGGGUUUGAUGGGAAGUGUUUGCUUUGGAACGAGAGAGAUUUUGGCGCGGAACACGGACACUUGAGGCGUUGUUUUAGAGGUCUGGAUUGUGUGGCUUUGUCAGCAUAGCAGGAGUUUCACGGUGAUGCUUAAGGACCGUAGCCGCAGUCGUCUUCACCAGUGUGUGCCUGUCUACUGGAGGAGUGGUGUAGUGUGUGGCCAUCCUGAGCCCUAUCAGUUUGUGGUGACAGAGGGAGACACCUGUCAUCACUCAGCAGGGGAAAAGAAGCGUUCGUGUGAACGAGGGUUACCCGUGGUGUCCCUCAACUGAAAAUUUUGAGGUGUAUAAGUUUCAUCUAGUUAUUUCUUCUUUUUUUUUUU